GCUGAUAUAGCUCAGGCGGUAGAGCGCAUCCUUGGUAAGGAUGAGGUCGGCAGUUCGAAUCUGCCUAUCAGCA
rnacentral:tRNA from 1 species